UACGGAGGAGGCAAGCGUUAUCCGGAAUUAUUGGGCGUAAAGCGUCCGUAGGUGGUUGGCCAAGUCUGCUGUCAAAGGGUGGGGCUUAACCUCAUAAAGGCAGUGGAAACUGGCGAGCUAGAGUGCGGUAGGGGUAGGGGGAAUUCCCAGUGUAGCGGUGAAAUGCGUUGAUAUCAUCAGGAACACCAGUGGCGAAAGCGGCUUACUGGGUCUUUUCUGACGCUGAGGCACGAAAGCUAGGGGAGCAAACGGG
rnacentral:rRNA from 1 species